AACGAACGCUGGCGGCAUGCCUAACACAUGCAAGUCGAACGAGACCUUCGGGUCUAGUGGCGCACGGGUGCGUAACGCGUGGGAACCUGCCCUUAGGUUCGGAAUAACUCCCCGAAAGGGGUGCUAAUACCGGAUAAUGUCUUCGGACCAAAGAUUUAUCGCCUUUGGAUGGGCCCGCGUUGGAUUAGCUAGUUGGGAGGGUACAAGCCUACCAAGGCGACGAUCCAUAGCUGGUCUGAGAGGAUGAUCAGCCACACUGGGGCUGGGACACGGCCCAGACUCCUACGGGAGGCAGCAGUGGGGAAUAUUGGACGAUGGGCGAAAGCCUGAUCCAGCAAUGCCGCGUGAGUGAUGAAGGCCUUAGGGUUGUAAAGCUCUUUUACCCGGGAUGAUAAUGACAGUACCGGGAGAAUAAGCUCCGGCUAACUCCGUG
rnacentral:rRNA from 1 species